GACUGUGAGUGACUUGAAUCUAAAAAAAAUAUAUAUAUAUAUAUAUAAAUUAAUAAUGUUAACCUAUUUUAUAUGCGGUUUUGACUAUUAUAGUGCAUCGCUUCACUCUCCUAAAGAGACUGGAUGAAGCUUUGAUCAGAAAGCAGAUCUGCUGUUUUUUUUUCCUCAUCAUGGUGGACUUUCUGGCAGAGAACAACCUGUGUGGUCAGGCCAUCCUGAGGAUCGUGUCCAGAGGAAAUGCCAUCAUAGCAGAAUUACUCAGACUCUCAGAAUUUAUUCCUGCAGUUUUCAGACUCAAAGACAAGAGCGACCAGCAGAAAUAUGGAGACAUCACCUGUGUGACAUCAGCUGCAGGAUUUAGCAGGAAUCUUCUGUUUCUUCAUUGCAGAAUUUUCUGACAGUCUUUCAGAGGAACAUCCUGAAGGACAAAGCUGUGGUUGACAUCUUUAAAGCUCUGCUGACGGCUGUCAAUCCCGUCAAAGGCAUUGUGGCAAAUGCAAGCAAAGUCUACAUCAACGCUGUGGCCAAAACCCAGAAGAUCUGGCCAGCGUAUCUGGAAGCCAUCAUGAAGGUGCUGCUUUCUUUUCAUCUAUGGAUUCAUCUUUUUCAGCAUCACUAUUCCAGAUCAAUCAAUGAUCCUUUGACAGCACUUGGGCUGGUUUUAGCUUCUCCCGCAGACAUCUUCCAGUGUUCGUCAGCAUCACUCAGCUGCCAAAACUGCAGUACAACACAAGCCAAGGGAUGACGUGCAGGAAGGCUGCAGAUCCGCUGGACUGGGCUCCUCUGGUGUUGGGUUUCCUGACGCUGCUCAAACAGUUUCACUCCAGAGACACCCAACACUUCCUGGCUCUGAUCGGACAGUUUAUUCACUCCAUAAUGGAGCAGUGCACCAGAUAUGCCUUCAGAUGUAGUCGGAGCAUUAAUGUUUCUGGAGGACUAUGUGCGUUACACUAAACUGCCCAGAAAUGUAGGAUAUAUUAUUAUGAGGUUUUGCAUAAUUCUUUUAAAAACAUGAUUAUUCUACUACAUGAAAUGAUUUUUCAGGUGGCAGAGGCUCAUGUGCCAAGUUUCAUUUUCGAUUAAUUCAGGACUGGACUGUGAAUGUGCCUGUGUGGUAAUGUCAAAUCAUAUUUGAUAUCAUUUGGCUUUCUCUUAAAAGCAUAAUGAAAUUAUCAUUUUUAACAUUUCAAUUUUAAAACAUGAUCAUCUUUUGUUGUUAUUAUUGACCAGAUAUCUGUCUGCUGGUGUAAUAAAUGCCAUGCGUGUAUUUAAAAAACUUUUUAGGACAUUUACACACUUUUGAAGAAUUCAUCUCUAACUCACAACCUCUCAAGUUAUUUAUAAUGUCUUGGCAACAGUCAUAAGAUAAAAAAAAAUAUGGAUGUGGUUCAUUGGUUUAACUGUACGCUGUGGCUCAUCCAAUCAGAAUUUAAGAGUGAGGAUUAUUCUGAACUUGUAUAGGAGAACUUUUUUGCACACAACACAUGAGACAAGAUUUGAAUGAAAGUUUUACUU